GGCCAUCGAUCGAUUCCUAAAGUGGACCAAAGGCCUCUCUUUUUGGCCCAGUCUAUAUCGCUCGUUGAUUUUGCUCCAUUUAGCUAAAUCCAUAGUGCGGUCUGUUUAGCCAACUCUACAUUGUUCUGUUAUAGCAACUGUAUUGCACCCUGUUUGCCAAUCCUGUUGAUCUGUCAGCCGACCUGUGUGACUGUUUAAAGGCUGUUGAGGCGUCAGGUUCUGCCGGGCUGUUCCCUAGGCCUCAGGUCCCCCUAGUGCUGAGCUGUUCUCUAGGCUUCAGGGGGGGGCGGGCUGUAGAGGGCUGACACGUCUGUCACAGAGACGCUAACCGUUCCAGAUGUGAAGGGCUAUUACAAUUUUUGCUGUGCUCCAGUGAGCUGAAUCCGACAUGUGAACACUAUUUGUUAUCUGAUCUGAACUCAAUGCUAUGCUUGGCGUAGCGCGCGUUCUUGUCUGAGCAGAACCGCCUGCUAAGCACUCGCUACCUCCCUUCUCUCUGCAUCAUGGCCCUAGAACUCCUGUACCUCCAACUACCACAUCCAACGUAUCACUCAACACGGUACGAAGCAAACAACGAACCACUACGUGAAUAAUGCAAACAUCAAGACGCUGUGAUACGUGUUCACACGCUGCCUCUCAGCACACAGGAUGUGAGAGUAGGUGGUUGGUUUGGCCCAGGAAGCCGCGUCAAGGCCCGAUACACGGGCUCAGAUUUACACGACCGAUAUGUAUUGAAUUAAGGGCACCGCAUCAAGGCGUGACUCAGAAGAAACGCUCUGUAACUAAUCUAGACCCAGCCACCAGAGCAGCUCUCGGAGGACGGCCUGUUUGGGAUUACAGAGGGAGUGGGAGCUGGAGCUGCACCAUGAUGAGCACAUGGAUGAGCCAUAGGGGGCUUCCUAGCCACCAGAGGGAGUAACUAAGGAGAACGACUCUGUGGGACUGGCUGUCACCGUGUAUCUUUACCUCUGGAAGGGGACGCUCAUUUCCAAGUAGAACAGGAUAUUUCUGUGCUACGAAACCCGAGGACGAAUGCGAUUCAACCCCCUUUUUUAAGGAUUUAAGGAUUGGUUCACACAAAAGCGACUCAACACAUGUACUGGUACGAGCCAGCUGUGUGGACAGGAAGCGUAGAGGAUUCAAGAGAUGUAGAGGAAGUUAGGGUGACCUUUUGAUUCUCAACCGUUUCUGCAGAUAGUGUGGGCUGUGAGCGGUGUUUACUGGGGACACCAGGCAGUUUGUUCCUCCUCUACGGCACGUAGCCUCCAGCCCUGCCAGGAGUGAGCAAGUACAGCCAAUGCAGGGUGGACGAGGGGAAGCGCUGUAACUCAUUGAGCUCGUCCUUGUCUAGCUGUCACACCUAGUGGUUGGUGACAUCAGUGGCUGAGCAGGACACUCUGCCCCCCAGUGGAAGGUCGGUGGUAUUGCAGCUGCCUGUGGAACUCUCACCACCACCAUUUUUUCCCGCCCUUGUGGGGAGUGACUAUUUCAACACCAAAAACAUUGUUUGGCCCCAUGACAGCACAAGAGUGGCGCAGGGGUGGGAGAGAGGCCAAGGCGCUCUGAAAGCUAUGCAAGCCACAACAGUCUGUUUGUGGGGCUUUCUGUGAGGGAGUUCUGUAAAUGUGUUGUGUGAGAGGAAGUGACAGAGGCCCUCUGCUGACGGUCUUCUGUACUGCAGCCGUCCAACUGACUCCUGUUUCCUUAAUGAGCAACAAUUGCCUCGUGUUGGCAGUUGGACUGAACCGAGGUCUACUUGAUCAAACGCACGACAACGGACCGGUUGUUGGACGAAGAAAUUGGUUUGGCAGAAAUGAA